rnacentral:rRNA from 1 species
GCUCGUGGAUCGAUGAAGACCGCAGCUAAAUGCGCGUCAGAAUGUGAACUGCAGGACACAUGAACACCGACAAGUUGAACGCAUAUUGCACAUCGUACAACAGUACGAUGUACACAUUUUUGAGUGCCUAUAUUUAUCUAUUCAACUAUACGUGCGUGCGCGUUUCACUCCGGGUGGACAAGCGCACGGCCCAUAAGCACGUAUGCGUAGUGAUGUUUUCCCGCCUUCGGUGGCGGUAAAACAUUGAAGAUAGUCAGGCGCGUCCUCUCCGCAGGACGUGGUUGAUGAAUACAUCCCAUUGACCAGCUCCGUUGGCUUUGUUGUAUUCCAUCUCCAAACACACACUUGCAAUAGCAUAAUGUACCAGUAGGCCUCAAAUAAUGUGUGACUACCCCCUAAAUUUAAGCA